AAAAAGUCAUAUAAGGUGUUAGAAAGCCAUAUAUAUUGUUCAGGAUGUCAUAUAUAUUCACAGGAUGUCAUAUAUAUUGUGUAGGAUGUCAUAUAUACUCAUAAAAAGUCAUAUAAGGUGUUAGAAAGUCAUAUAUAUUAUUUAGGAUGUCAUAUAUAUUCAUAAGAAGUCAUACAAGGCAUCAAGAAGUCAUAUAUAUUAUUCAGAAUGUCAUAAAUAUACAGGAAGUUAUAUAUAUGGUUCAGGAUGUCAUAUAUAUUCACGAAAAGUCAAACCAUAUAUUAGAAAGUAAUAAUACUAUUCUUUCUUUGUUGUAUAGAGGAAAUGGUAUUUUCAUCACUGACAUUAGGGAAAGGAAAAAGCUAAGCGGCAUUUAAUGUCCAUCCUUUUUAAAUAUGCUGUGCCCCAAUAUUAUUAGGCG
rnacentral:lncRNA from 1 species